CACUCGUUGUGCUCCUUAGAAUCCCGGCUCCCCGCGCCUCCUCUCCUCCGAUCUAACUCCUCCGCACUCUGCUCCUCCAUCUCCUCGCACCCUGCUCCUCCGCCUCCUCCUUCCUAAGCUGCCCGCAUCCAUGCCCUCCUCUGACUUGCGCGGGCGGCCAACACCCGGCCAUGGGGGCUGGCAGUGGUAGGCGCCAAGAUCCGUCUGCCGCUGACCCAGAUUCGGCGCAGCGGUGACGGAUCAAGAGCAGGCGGCGCUUCUUCCUCUCCGGUUCGGCGCGGAUCGAGAUUGCAGGCUUCUUCCCCGGCGGCUCGAGCUGUCGAGCUUGGCUUCCAGCGGCGCGGAUCCAGGAGGCCUGGCUGCUCGCAAGCUCUCCAGGUCGUCUGCGCCUAGCUGCCUUCCAACUUGUUCCCCAUCCCAAAUCUCCUUCUCACUCUACCCAAAUUUGUGAUGUGUGAUGCAUGGAAGUGAAGGAGGAGGAGACGACGGCCGUGGAUCUGCGGAUCCGGAGCACAAAGAAACAAGCGUGCUGCAGGGGCACCUGGUCAUGGUGGUUGGGGAUAACAUCGCGAAGGUGCCUUCAUCCAACAGCAGGUGGCAGGGCGCUACGCAAGGCGGCAUGCCACCUAGGGUCGAGGCCUCCCCCCCCCCCACCCACCCACCACCACCACAUCUGCAGCAUUGAUGGGUGCUGUUGAUGUCUUCUAACUUCUUUUGCAAGCAUUCAGUCUAUUGCAGGGUGCAUCUGCUUAUUGACGAGAAGAUUCAUUGGAUGCAUGUGGACAUGUCAAAAGGAGGACCAUUGCAUGUGUCAGGACAACUAGGACAUCUCACGCGCUCCGCCACGUGAAGAAAAAAGCACAAAGAUAAAAAAGAAGAAGAGGUGAAAACAUUACAAAGAAAAAAGCUUAUUUUCAAAAUUACAAAAGGGUGGGGUCGAGAGGUGGGGAGCCCGGGAAGGGGUGGCGGCCAAGGACGGCGACCGGUGGUAGGAGAGGAGGGCGAGGGGCGGAGGGCGGCGCCCGCCGGCGGUGGCGGAGUGCAGCGGUGCGGCGGCGAAGAACGUUAGGGUUAGCUGAGAGGGAGGGGGCGGGGAGGCCGAGGGAGGGUGCGCGGAGGAGGGGGGGAGGGCGGUUGUUGGGAGGGUAGGCGGCGGGGUUUUUUUUGCAAAAAGGCAUGGACGGCGGGUUUGAUUACAAACAAACUGAAGGGUCUUUUUGCAAAAAAGCCAAGGAGCGGCCUGGAUCAACCUCCUACGACCGAUCGGACGGUUCGCGUCGGGCGUCUUCUCCGGUGGCGCCAUGUGUCACUACCGGGGGAAGGGAGCGCGGAGAGGGCUCCCUCUCCACGCCGUAUAGAAGUUAGAGUAUGAUAUAAUUUGUCUACUUGUUCGGAUCAUAAGAUGAACUCAUGUAUUUGCCUAUUUUUGUUGUACUUUUGUUGAAAUAGCCUUUAUAUUGUUAUGAUCGAUACAGUAGGCUUGAGUAUUGGAUGAUUGGUACUGUAUAUUUCUUUAAAAAUAAGCUUUGUAUAUUGUUUUGGGUUGCAAUGGUAAUUUUGAAAAUGGUCUGAAAUAGUCUAA